rnacentral:rRNA from 1 species
GUGAAACUGUUCAGGGGUAAACCUGAGAAACCCGAAAGAUCGAAUGGGGAGAUUCAUCGUCGGCGAGGUUGGCUUUUGCGAGGACGCGAUGUUCGAUGGUUUUCUGUCGUGACACGCGUCCCUGCGAAUGUUACCGGCUUCGUCGGCGUGCACUUCUCCCCUAGUAGAACGUCGCGACCCGUUGGGUAUCGGUCUAAGGCCCGUGCUUUUAGACUGUCGCGUCGCGCUUUACGGCGCGCGUUGGCAGAGGCACGGGUACCUGACCGAAGGCCCGGCGGUACUCGCACGGUAUCGAGCCGCACAUUGUUGAACUGCGUUCAGGCCCACCCGCAAGCUGGUUCAUCUUUUGGAUGCCGGACCUAGUGCCGUCUCUGAAAGUGGAUAGCUGUUGGUAGGCGGUGUCCUCGAACAGGCUCACGUUGAAUUUACAUUCACGAUACCGGUCGGCGACGCUAUUGCUUUGGGUACUUUCAGGACCCGUCUUGAAACACGGACCAAGGAGUCUAACAUGUGCGCGAGUCAUUGGGCAUAUGUUAAACCCAAAGGCGUAUUGAAAGAGAAGGUAGGCCUCGCGUCAACCGAGGGAGGAUGGGCCGUGUCUAGAUGCGGUCUCGCACUCCCGGGGCGUCUCGUACUCAUUACGAGUUGAUGCGCACCCAGAGCGUACACGUUGGGACCCGAAAGAUGGUGAACUAUGCCUGGUCAGGACGAAGUCAGGGGAAACCCUGAUGGAAGUCCGUAGCGAUUCUGACGUGCAAAUCGAUCGUCGGAACUGGGUAUAGGGGCGAAAGACUAAUCGAACCAUCUAGUA